AUUAGGAUUAACCGUGUUCUUUUCUUUGCCUCUCCAGAACCAAUGUCGAUUAGGUUUUCCAAAUCGCUCUUUCAUCUUCUUCUUCAAAGUAUGAAACGAUACCGGUUACCGAAUAAUCAUCUUAAAACCCUCCAUUGAUCUCUCACAAAGGUUCUAUAUUCAAUGCGAUUUCUGAUUCUCCAAGGCGGUGGAGGUUCAUCUAUAAAAAUAAAAUCAAACGCCAUUGAAGAGCAAAAAAGAUGUUUCACCCAAUAUAAAACUGAGAAACUUGCGAAUUAUGAAAUUUUGAUUCGUUUGGUAAGAAUAUGAUGGAUGUGAUCUCGGCCGCUGCACACUACUUCUUCUUACGCCUCUCCAACGGUAUCUCAUGUAGCUGCAUCGGUAGAGACAUAAUAAGAAGGUGGUGCUUCUCUUUCUCUCCGUGACCCACUUAUUAGUUGUUGUUCUUCUUUGAUGUAGUUGAAUACAGUUUUGUAUGUUUGAAAUGACUUUUACGGUCUGCCAGUUUCGUAAACACAACUUGCAAUGAGUAUUCAGGAAUUAGCUGCCA